CAUUUCUCUCAGUUACACUGAGGUGAGGCCAACUGCUCUGUGUGUGGAAGCCAGAGAAGAAAGCAGCACAGAACAGAUGCAAACCAAGGAGGCUGGAAGAUAAGAGCAGAGCCAUCAGGACACGAGCCCCUCGCGGGUAUGAAACAGGAGUCGUGGGAGCAAAUUAGUAGGUGCACUGCAUGGAGGGACGGAAGGGGCAGGGAGGAGCAUCUGAAUGUAAGAUUUCAGAGAAGCUCAUUUUGUCAGCAUUUCAGAGCUUCCUGUGUGCAGCAUGGAUCUAAAGCUGGUGGAUGCAGGGGGGUGAACAAGACAACAUCUUCACUUCCUGCAUGCUGAUGGCAGAAGUGAGACAUCAGCGAAGAAACAUCACGAUCACCAAAUUACGAUGAACACCAUGGAGGAAACAAAGGACACUGUGACACCAAGGAAGGAAGGGAGGUUACUUUUCAUAGUGGCUGUAAAUAGAACUGAAGGCUGAAAAACAGCUGUUAAAAUGGCUUGUUUGUUUGAAGAUGAAUGAGAGUACACAAUAAAAGGUAAUUC
rnacentral:lncRNA from 1 species